GGUCAGGGGCCUCACCGAAGUGGUGCAGGCCAUGCAGCAGCAGCAGCUGCUGCAGGCAUCUGUGCAGCUGGAAAGAGCAUCAUCGGAGUUCCAGAAUCCGACGAUCGAGCGGCCCACUUGGGUUAGUCGCCCUGUAUCUCCUAAAAAGGGGAAGCAGAAGGUGGAGAGCCCUCUGUCUGAUCACGAUUCCACCUCCGAAGGGUCCCUACCUCCGUUCUGUCAGAAGACCCACGAGAUUCAUGAUCGAGAGGAUCUCCUGGAUCAAAGGUUCCAAGAGAUGAAC
rnacentral:lncRNA from 1 species